rnacentral:piRNA from 1 species
UCCUAACAAUCCCUGUGUCCCCGUUUUCC